rnacentral:misc_RNA from 1 species
AACAAAUCAGAAUCCGCCCGCGGGAAUUUUAAGGACGUAAUUUUCCUCUCAGGUUACUUCUUUCAUUGGCCUGCAAUAAAUCAACUCUGUCUCCACAUGGUGAUUGGAUUCUACUUUUGUAAAUGCUUAAUUAAUAAUGGAAGCUAUGAAUUCUCCGUAUUCUUUUGUUGUUUGUCAGUAUUUGUUCGCCAAUCUCUUGUUUUUUCCAAUUUCUUUAUUAAUAUUUGCUUCCCAUUUUUCCAUUUUCAAGCCUCCAGUUUUCCUUCUUGGAAUCCCACUUUCUUUUACUCGUUCAACUCUGUCUUCCCUUCCAUUCUUGUUUUAUAUUCCCACACUCUCUGCAAAUACCUCCACUUUCCUCUCUUUCUGUCCUGUCUCUAUCUUUUUGCUUUUCUUUUUUUCUCACUCAUUUCUUGCCUAUCUAGAGUUGCCCACAUUCAGUAUUCGUUUGGUGACUGCCAACUACUUGAUUUUACCUUCAUAUGAACUGGGUAUUUGUCAAAUUUUGAUUUGGAGAUCCAUUCGCCCAGUUUAAACAAUUUCCAUCACUUGUUAUUGGAUAUCUGCUCGUUCUGAGCGAGAAAUCUUAUCUAUUAUGGCUCAAAAUACUAUUGAUCAUUCAUUCUCGUUAGGUGGCUCACGUCAUAUGCAGGGUCAAGAAGAAGUGCCAUUCCAGACCAAUAAAGGGUCUUCGAAAAUUUGCCUUGUGCAUGGUAAUUUAGAUAUAUGGGUUAAGGAGGCUAAAAAACUUCCCAACAUGGAUAUGUUUCAUAAAGCCUUAGGGGACAUGUUUUCCAAAUUGCCUAUGAAGGUUAGUCGUGUAAGUAAUAAUAUAACUAGUGAUCCGUAUGUCACAAUUUCGUUAUCUGGUGCUGUAAUUGGGAGGACUUUUGUCAUCAAUAAUAGCGAGAAUCCAGUAUGGAUGCAGCAUUUCAAUGUUCCUGUUGCACAUCAUGCUGCAGAGCUGCACUUUGUCGUCAAAGACAAUGAUGUUGUUGGCUCACAGCUUAUAGGUGCUGUGGGAAUCCCAGCAGAGCAGCUGUGUUCUGGCAAGAAAAUUGAGGGCACUUUUCCAAUUCUAGCCGCCAAUGGGAAGCCUUGCAAGCCUGGAGCCGAAUUGAGCUUAUCAAUUCAGUUUACCCCAGUACAGCAAAUGGCAAUUUAUAAGCAUGGAGUAGGUUCAGGUCCUGAUUACAAUGGGGUUCCGGGAACGUACUUUCCUCUUAGAAGAGGAGGCAAAGUUACUCUCUAUCAAGAUGCACAUGUUCAUGAUGGUUGCCUACCUGAUUUGAAGCUUGAUGGUCAUGUUCAGUAUGAGCAUGGGACUUGCUGGCUUGACAUCUUUAAUGCCAUCAGUCAGGCUCGGCGUUUGAUUUACAUUACUGGGUGGUCUGUAUACCACCAGGUUAGAUUGGUUCGAGAUGGUCAUGAUGGAAAGGAUUGUACAUUGGGUGAUCUUCUCAAAAUCAAAUCUCAGGAAGGUGUAAGAGUGCUGCUCCUUGUAUGGGAUGAUCCUACUUCUAGGAGUUUCUUGGGAUAUAAAACGGUAAGAAACUCAGAGCUUAUGGUGAUGCUUUUUAUGCUUUAUUGCAUUUUUUGGACUAAAAAUUCAAAACAAGUUUAAUUUUCUGGUUCUUUUUGUAACUUUGACACAAAUGUUAUAAUAGGAAAAUUUUUCCUCGCUGUGAUGCCUUUUAUGCAGCAUUGAUGUUCAAAAAUGAAGGUUUGGCUCAAUGUUGGAGAGCCCAUAACAAUUGGUUUUGCAGGUUUGAUCUUUGUCCUCCAACACUAAAGGGGCAAGAAAUAGUAUGUAGUUUAAGUGUACACUUGAAUCUUUCAUGGCAAAUGUGUAUAACAAUGCAACUCUGAAAAAACUAAACUUCUUUGUUCAUUGAGUUGCAUUAUUUGCUUUACCUUUAAAUCUUUCCCUGAUUUCUGUACGCGACUGACAUCAUAUUUUCCAGACUAUCAAGAUUCAAUUGAACAGGCAUUGCUUUUUUGUCUCUUAUGAAAGACAAUAGCAUAUAUAAAGAUUGUUUCGUUAUCAUGUUGCAGCAAAAUUGAUGAAUUCAUUGAAUAAUCUAGCUAAUUCUGUUGAUUUUUCCUGUUUUCUAUAGUAUAAUGUGGUAGAUAUGUAAAGGAAACUUGACAAUAUGAAGCAGCUUUUGUUUUAGAUGAUAUACUUGUGUCAUUUACUGAUUUUUAUAUGGUCAGUAACACUUGGUCAGACUAACUGGCCUGUAUAUUUCUCGAUACUUGUAAAUUUCUCACAUAUUUAAAAUAGAACUACAUAUAUUUUCUCUUUUUUGUUAGGUAUUGAUUAAAUUCUAUGAUAUGUAGGAGGGCAUCAUGAACACCAGUGAUGAGGAAACUCGCCAUUUUUUCAAGCACUCUUCAGUGCAAGUGCUGCUUUGCCCUCGAUCUGGUGGAAAAGGACACAGCUUUAUGAAAAAGCAGGAAGUUGGAACAAUCUAUAGUCAUCAUCAGAAAACAGUGAUAGUGGAUGCUGAUGCAGGUCAUUAUAAAAGAAAGAUUGUAGCUUUUAUUGGAGGACUUGAUCUAUGCAUGGGCCGAUAUGACACUCCACAGCAUCCUCUUUUUAGGACAUUAGAAACAGUGCACAAAGAUGACAAUCGCAACCCUACAUUCAUGGAGCCUGGUGUUGGUUGUCCAAGACAACCAUGGCAUGAUUUGCACUGUAAAAUUGAUGGCCCAGCAGCAUAUGAUAUUCUCACCAAUUUUGAGGAGCGUUGGUUGAAGGCUUCAAAGCCUCAUGGGAUUCAAAGACUGAAGGCAUCAUAUGAUGAUGCAUUACUCAAGUUUGAAAGAAUUCCUGAAAUAAUUGGGAUUGCAGAAGUUUCUUGCCAGGCUGAAAAUGACCCAGAGACUUGGCAUGUUCAGGUUUUCCGUUCAAUUGAUUCCACUUCUGUCAAAGGCUUCCCGGAUGAUCCAAAGGAUGCAACAAGCAGGAACCUGUUAUGCGGGAAGAAUGUACUCAUAGAUGCGAGCAUACAUACAGCAUAUAUCAAAGCAAUCCGUGCCGCCCAACAUUUCAUCUAUAUUGAAAACCAGUACUUUCUUGGAUCUUCGUAUAACUGGGAUGCUCACAAAGACAUAGGUGCAAAUAACUUAAUACCCAUGGAAAUUGCUCUUAAGAUUGCCAACAAAAUCAGAGCAAAUGAGAGGUUUUCUGCAUAUAUUCUUAUCCCAAUGUGGCCCGAAGGUGUUCCUACAGGCGCUCCUACGCAGAGGAUUCUCUUUUGGCAGCAAAAGACAAUGCAAAUGAUGUAUGAAACAAUUUACAAGGCUUUGGUGGAAGUUGGACUUGAAAACACAUAUGAGCCACAAGACUACUUGAAUUUCUUCUGCCUUGGUAAUCGUGAGGCAUUGGACAGGGAAAACAGUUUAAAUGGCCAAAGUACCAAUGCAACAAACACUGCUCAGGCGUUGAGUCGGAAAAAUAGACGCUUUCAGAUUUAUAUUCAUUCCAAAGGAAUGAUAGUGGAUGAUGAGUAUGUGAUAAUGGGAUCUGCAAAUAUCAACCAGCGUUCCAUGGAUGGUACCAGAGACACUGAGAUAGCAAUGGGUGCAUAUCAACCUCAGCAUGCCUCUGCAAGGCGCUCUCAUCCGCACGGACAGAUUUAUGGACAUAGGAUGUCAUUAUGGGCAGAGCACAUUGGAGGUAUUGAGGAAUGCUUUGAGCAACCAGAGAGUCUUGAAUGUGUAAGACGUGUAAGGUCACUCAGUGAGCUCAACUGGAGACAGUAUGCAGCUGAUAAUGUAACAGAAAUGAAGGGUCACCUCUUGAAGUAUCCAGUUGCUGUUGAUCAAACGGGCAAGGUCAAGGCUCUCCCUGGCUGCGAAACAUUCCCGGAUGUUGGUGGUAACAUACUAGGGUCGUUCAUAGCCAUUCAAGAAAAUCUCACAACCUGAGAUAUAGUACUUAGCCGACUCAUGUUUAUUCUGCUGCACAUGUAUUCAGAUAGUUAUCUGAUUUUCCCUUUGUUAUGUUCCAAAUUAUACCAAUAUGGAGUUUGUUUUUAGGCCAGUAUCUGUUUAGUUAGAGAAUUUGUGGAUUUGGUCAAGUGGGUUCAUUUGUUAAAAAAUUUUCUCCCUCAAACCUUUUUGCUGUAUUCAAUGCUCUCCUGAAAACGACAAGUCGUUGUUCUGGAAAUCGUCAUAAUGCGACAGCUCCCUUAAUGAAACAAACGAUAACAAGACCAUCUGCACCUCUAAUCAAACGACAAGGCGUUCUCUUUCCAACAUGUCCACUCUGGCAAUCCGCUAAAGAGAAUGGUUAGAUGAACAUCCAUCAACGCUUCAAAUCAAGCGUAUUCAUUUGACGCGGAUUGAACUUAUCAACCGUCGAUAACACUCCAUCCAACGGAUAAUUUGGCGCUCUAGAAUUUGGCAAUUUUGAAAAUUGGAAAUUGAAGAGGUUCGCUCCUAAAUUCCCAAUAUAAACCCUAAACCAGCCGUCUCCCUUCGUCACUGAACUGAAUUGAGAAGGAAAAAUGUCGGGGAGAGGAAAAGGAGGCAAAGGUCUGGGAAAGGGAGGAGCCAAGAGGCACAGGAAGGUUUUGAGGGAUAACAUUCAGGGGAUCACGAAGCCGGCAAUCCGUCGUCUAGCUCGUAGAGGAGGCGUAAAGCGUAUCAGUGGCCUGAUUUAUGAGGAGACCAGAGGCGUACUCAAGAUCUUCCUUGAAAAUGUGAUUCGGGAUGCUGUCACUUACACUGAACAUGCCCGAAGAAAGACCGUAACUGCCAUGGAUGUUGUGUACGCUCUCAAGAGGCAGGGUCGGACGCUCUAUGGCUUUGGUGGC